rnacentral:rRNA from 1 species
CAAGUCGAACGGUAACAGAGGAAAGGCUUGCCUUUUCUGCUGACGAGUGGCGGACGGGUGAGUAAAGUAUGGGGAUCUGCCGAAUGGAGGGGGACAACUGCUGGAAACGGCAGCUAAUACCGCAUAAAGUUGAGAGACCAAAGCGUGGGACUUUUUAGCCACGCGCCAUUUGAUGAACCCAUAUGGGAUUAGCUUGUUGGUAGGGUAAUGGCUUACCAAGGCGACGAUCUCUAGCUGGUCUGAGAGGAUGACCAGCCACACUGGAACUGAGACACGGUCCAGACUCCUAUGGGAGGCAGCAGUGGGGGAUAUUGCACAAUGGGGGAAACCCUGAUGCAGCCAUGCCGCGUGUAUGAAGAAGGCUUUCGGGUUGUAAAGUACUUUCGGUAAUGAGGAAGGUGUAUUAUCUAACAGGUAAUGCAAUUGACGUUAGUUACAGAAGAAGCACCGGCUAACUCCGUGCCAGCAGCCGCGGUAAUACGGAGGGUGCGAGCGUUAAUCGGAAUAACUGGGCGUAAAGGGCAUGCAGGCGGGUCAUUAAGUUAGGUGUGAAAUCCCCGGGCUCAACCUGGGAACUGCACUUAAAACUGGUGGUCUGGAGUAUUGUAGAGGAAGGUAGAAUUCCACGUGUAGCGGUGAAAUGCGUAGAGAUGUGGAGGAAUACCGGUGGCGAAGGCGGCCUUCUGGACAAAUACUGACGCUGAGAUGCGAAAGCGUGGGGAGCAAACAGGAUUAGAUACCCUGGUAGUCCACGCUGUAAACGAUGUCGAUUUGGAGUUUGGUGGCAUGACUGCUGGGCUUCGAAGCUAACGCGUUAAAUCGACCGCCUGGGGAGUACGGCCGCAAGGUUAAAACUCAAAUGAAUUGACGGGGGCCCGCACAAGCGGUGGAGCAUGUGGUUUAAUUCGAUGCAACGCGAAGAACCUUACCUGGUCUUGACAUCCACAGAAUUCUGUAGAGAUACGGGAGUGCCUUAGGGAGCUGUGAGACAGGUGCUGCAUGGCUGUCGUCAGCUCGUGUUGUGAAAUGUUGGGUUAAGUCCCGCAACGAGCGC